GAUCAGGUAGGGAUACCCGCUGAACUUAAGCAUAUCAAUAAGCGGAGGAAGAUCAUUACCGAGUUGAUUCGAGCUCCGGCUCGACUCUCCCACCCAAUGUGUACCUACCUCUGUUGCUUUGGCGGGCCGCGGUCCUCCGCACCGGCCCUCUCNGGGGGCUGGCCAGCGCGCCCAAGGAACCAUAAAAUCUCGCUCGUGGAACUUCCCGUCCGGAAAACAAG
rnacentral:rRNA from 1 species